rnacentral:rRNA from 1 species
UACGGGGGGGGUAAGCGUUGUUCGGAAUUACUGGGCGUAAAGGGCUCGUAGGCGGCCAACUAAGUCAGACGUGAAAUCCCUCAGCUUAACUGGGGAACUGCGUCUGAUACUGGAUGGCUUGGAUUCGGGAGAGGAAUGCGGAAUUCCAGGUGUAGCGGUGAAAUGCGUAGAUAUCGGGAGGAACACCGGUGGCGAAGGCGGCGACCUGGGUCGAGACUGACGCUGAGGCGCGAAAGCGUGGGGAGCAAACAGG